rnacentral:rRNA from 1 species
ACCAGACUCCUACGGGAGGCAGCAGUGGGGAAUAUUGCGCAAUGGGGGAAACCCUGACGCAGCAACGCCGCGUGCAGGAAGAAGGUCUUCGGAUUGUAAACUGUUGUCGCAGGGGAAGAAGACAGUGACGGUACCCUGUGAGAAGGUCACGGCUAACUCCGUGCCAGCAGCCGCGGUAAUACGGAGGAUGCGAGCGUUAUCCGGAUUUAUUGGGUUUAAAGGGUGCGUAGGCGGACUGUUAAGUCAGCGGUAAACGCCGGGGUCUCACCCCCGGCGAGCCGUUGAAACUGGCUGUCUUGAGAUGUCGAGAGGUAUGCGGAAUGCGCAGUGUAGCGGUGAAAUGCUUAGAUAUUGCGCAGAACUCCGAUUGCGAAGGCAGCAUACCGGCGGCGAUCUGACGCUGAGGCACGAAAGCGUGGGUAUCGAACAGGAUUAGAUACCCGGGUAUG